rnacentral:rRNA from 1 species
CUGGCUCAGGACGAACGCUGGCGGCAUGCCUAACACAUGCAAGUCGAACGGGGGUAGCAAUACCCUAGUGGCGAACGGGUGAGUAACACAUAAGCAAUCUGCCCUUCACAGGGGGAUAACAGCGGGAAACUGCUGCUAAUACCGCAUAAGACCACGGUACCGCAUGGUACAGGGGUAAAAACGAAUCAGUGGUGAAGGAUGAGCUUAUGUCCCAUUAGCUAGUUGGUGAGAUAACAGCCCACCAAGGCGACGAUGGGUAGCCGACCUGAGAGGGUGAUCGGCCACACUGGAACUGAGACACGGCCCAGACUCCUACGGGAGGCAGCAGUGGGGAAUAUUGGGCAAUGGAAGGAAACUCUUACCCAGCAAUGCCGCGUGAGUGAAGAAGGUCUUCGGAUUGUAAAGCUCUUUGAUUGGGGACGAAGAAAGUGACGGUACCCAAAGAACAAGCCCCGGCUAACUACGUGCCAGCCGCCGC